rnacentral:rRNA from 1 species
AUUGAACGCUGGCGGCAGACCUAACACAUGCAAGUCGAACGGCAGCACAGAAGAGCUUGCUCUUUGGGUGGCGAGUGGCGGACGGGUGAGUAAUGUCUGGGAAACUGCCCGAUGGAGGGGGAUAACUACUGGAAACGGUAGCUAAUACCGCAUAACGUCGCAAGACCAAAGUGGGGGACCUUCGGGCCUCACACCAUCGGAUGUGCCCAGAUGGGAUUAGCUAGUAGGUGGGGUAAUGGCUCACCUAGGCGACGAUCCCUAGCUGGUCUGAGAGGAUGACCCGCCACACUGGAACUGAGACACGGUCCAGACUCCUACGGGAGGCAGCAGUGGGGAAUAUUGCACAAUGGGCGCAAGCCUGAUGCAGCCAUGCCGCGUGUAUGAAGAAGGCCUUCGGGUUGUAAAGUACUUUCAGCGGGGAGGAAGGCGGUGAGGUUAAUAACCUUGCCGAUUGACGUUACCCGCAGAAGAAGCACCGGCUAACUCCGUGCCAGCCGCCGCCGUAA